ensembl:lncRNA
UCCAGGUUAGGAGCAAAGGUCAGGCUGCGGUGUGAUGUUUACAACAGGGACAUUGGUGCAGGGCUGCUCUCCAGAGUACAGAACUCAGACACAAAUUGGGCCAGUGUGUGGAACACAACGGGCAGUGCAGAGAAGGAAAACCUGCAAAGCUAACGGGGCACCUGUAAGUAACAGGAAGAUGUGGAACUCAAGAUUCGUGCUCUUGUCAGAAUCACCGAACUGGAGGCACAUACUGCAACGAGCUACGCGGACAGAUUUGCAAGGCAUAUUGUUGGAUGAAAAAAGUAAGAAACAGGGGCUGGAGAGCACAACAAAACAUACUUACAGCGGAAGCCAUGCUUGCACACAAAACAAGAGCUCCGCCUGUUUCAACGCACAUCCAAGAGUGUAGAUGAAGUCCUCCAGUGAGUGCUUUGGGGGCACCGGUAAGUGGGCAUAGGGGUUUUGUAGCAUUAAAUGUGACGGGCAGUUGAUCAUUAUGUGCCAGGAAGUAAGGAGUAAGAUGAACUCAACUGUUUGAAACCAAGAGGCAUCUAGAAAAGAUAUGGAAAUGAGGAAAAUAAAGAAAGGAGGCUGCUGGCUGCAGAGAUCUUGGUGACAGCCCUAGAAGGGAGCCUGUCCUCCCAGGGCCUUGUGUGUCACUCUCAGGGACAGGGGUUUCCUCCCAGAGCCAAGGCCUGUGAUCCCAGAGUGAGGACAGCUGUGACUGUGCCUCCCAAGAACAGACAGGGAGGCUGCGGAGCCUGGGCACAGGGCGUGGUGGCUCGAAGCCAGGGCUGGGCUUGGGCGUCCCAGGGACGUAGACUGCUGUCCCUGCUCGGAUGCAACCCCUGGCACCCACUUCUCUGUGAUUCAGAAGUUGUAGGACUUGGUAACAGGCUGGAGAGACCCUCAGUCUCUUGAAGUGGGCCAUUACCAGAGGCACCGUGAGAGCUCAUGUCCAAGAGAACCGUCGCUGUGACAGCCGCCCACCAGCUCUCAGGAGCUGGCUGUCAGAUCCCCACAGUCUCCAUACACAAAAAAGAGGCUUUGCGCAAGUCCGCAGCAAUGGAAUCCAUCUCGCCGAGGCCCUGGAGGGCGGUGUUAAGGGCCGUGACUCAGGUCCUCCCACCUGGGCUGCAAUUAUUUAAUUUUCCUGGAAAAUCAGCAUCAUGAUGAUGAAUGCUUGGCUGAUUUCAGGGCAGAUUAACGCAUUGGAGAUGAAGUGCUUUCCCACUUAUCUUCCACUGUGUCUUGCUGAGAGCCUGUCCUGAUUAAGAGGCCAGGUCCUGCUCUCUUCCCGACGGCUCGCUCACCACCUCUGGCCCUCCCUCGGGGCCCCAAAGGUGGGGGAGGAUGUUCUUUGGAGUUUAUGUUCUUUGUUCUUCCUUUUCAAGUGCUUUAGGUUCAACUUCCACGCCUUGUUAGGGGAUGGACUGUGUCCCGCCCACGAAUCCCCUGUUGAAGCUGUAAUACCCAGGACUGUGGCUGCCUGGAGAUGGGGUCUUUGGAGAGGUGAAGUCACUUUGGGUGGCCCUAAUUGGGUAUGGCUGGUGUCCUCCCAGCAGAGGAUGUUAGCACACAGGCACUGGCUGGGGCCACAAGCAGACACCAAGCAGGCAGCAGCUGCAGGCAAGAGAGAGGCCUUGAAAGAAGCCAACCCUGUGGACGCCUUGAGCUUGGACUUCCACCCUCUAGGACUGUGGAAAAUAACGUCCUCUUGUCUCGGCCUGGGUCUCAGGGCUUUGUUAUGGCAGGCAGCUGUGGUAGUUAGUGCAUCCUCCGGCAAUCUCACACUCCCUGGUCUACCCACGCUGGCCUUUUGGCGUGGCUGAAAUAUCUGUCCUUCCCCUGGGAACCUGCCUGUUUUCCAAUGGCAGGUCUCAACGUGGUGGCAGCCUCUUUCUGGAGCAGGUGUCCUGUCCUGUGGCACAUGUCGCUGACCAGUUGCUGCCCUGUGUCCCUACUUGGGUCCUGCUGUCCCUGCUCUAUGCUGCUCUGUACUCCAGCAUGUCCCCCAGGAAGGCUGAGCAUGACAGGGACUUGCAAGGAUGGGAGUUCCCAAAACAAGAGCAAGAGGGAGGGGCACAAGGGGCCUCAGAGUGGCCUUGUGCCCACCAUCUUGGGAACCCAUGCCCUUCCGUUGGGGAGCCCGGGGUGGCGCAUGGUCCCUCACAGCCUCUGGGCAACUCUGGGUCCAGGUCUGGCUCGCGCACCCGGCCUCGGCGUCAUGGGGACGGAGGGACGCUGCAGAGCCAAGCUCAUAAAGCCAGCUGCCAGCCUGUUCAUGCUCCAUCACGAGGCCCAGACACUUGUGUGGGCAGGACCCCUGCGCUCGAGGAGGCUGGAUGUCCGUGGGAAGGAAAGGGCAGCCCUGGGGCUGAGGAAGGCGGGGGCCAGGAGGACCGGAUGGUCCCCACAGCGAGUCCACCGAAGAUGCUCAUUGGCAGGAGGAGGCUGUUCCCGAGGAAGACUGUUUGGGUGAUGUGUGAACUUACAUAACAGCAAGAGGAGGCCAUUUGUACACACCAAGCUGGCCCCUCCUUCCACCCGCACACCGGCCCUCUCCCCAGGGAAUGGACUUCUCCACCCUCGCCUCUCCGUUCUCACCGAAGCACCAGUAUUAGUGGAUGUGAAUGGCUUUCGCGCCGACGCAGCCCACCAGACAAGAUGGGCAGCAGGAGCACACCCCCCAUCACCCUUCUUCAAGACGCCCCAUAAAAUACCAGCUGCAAUCGGAGCACCUCUUUCUCUUGAGAGUCCACACGUAUUUCUUUGUUUACUUUAGAUUCUGCCUAAUAAAUCCCUUUAUGUCUCUUCCUGAUCCAUCUAGAAAAGUCUCUUUCUUUUCUGUUUUUGUUUUUUUUUUAAAAAAAAAAACAGGG